rnacentral:lncRNA from 1 species
AUGUCAGCCUCCACCGCACACAGCAGAAACGACAGAGAUCUCCUUGGUGUUCCUUCCACAAAGACGUCAUCCCUGAGUGUCCUCCCCCAGGGCAGCAAGCUGAAGCUGCAUCCGAGGUCAGACUCGUCAGAGUGUGAAAAUGAUGAUCCGUUACUGAGAUCUGCAAGUAAAGUCAGAGACAUCAACAGCACUUACGUUAUUUCUGCCUGUAAGAAAACAGAAGACACACGCCUCCUUCCUAACCCUGUGGGGAGGUUGACACUUCAGAGGAGAGCGACCAAGAGCAAGGAACCCUCUUUGCUUGGUCGUGAGUCGGGAGACGCCGGUGCGAAAACGGCAGAAACACGCCUUGCAUUACAGCGUCGGACUAAGACAGAUUACAUGGGAAAGUGGAAAGGAAUGCAGGACUUGGGCGGCAGGACAGAAAAUAGUCGGCCUUCACCAGAAACUGGUAUAAGUGUAAAAGCUGUAAGCAGUGAUAAAGACUUGCCUGUUGCACCUUCUGUGCCUUUAACUCCAGACCCCAAAGACCCUGAAAUGAAGGCUGAUGGAAAAUGCGCAGCGACGCGUUCUGCCCUCAGUGGGGUGGGUGAGAACGUUGCCCUUAAGUCCCUACGUGAGCGAGCACCCGCCGGUUCCCAGAGUCAGACUGAAGCUGUUCGCACACCGUGCGUGGCAGUUAGGCCCACUGAGAGCAGGUUGGAGACCAGAGAGUCAGGAGCAGGGGCCUCGCAUCACAGGGGUGCUGAGAAGGAAGCCACGAAACUUCCACGUAGAUUUGAAAGCUUAGAGAAAAGGACACCCUUCAAGUGUAUUUCAGAGCUCAGGUCGACACCUAGGCGUGGCGUCCUGCAGCCUCCGAGCCCCGCUGCCUUGGUUCUGAGAAGCAAGAGGCCCACCCUGCAAGUUAAACAGACGCCCCAGAGCUCUCUUCUUGCAAGUCAGAGGGAAAGGUCACGGGAAAAUACAUUCCUUCUUGAGGAAGAAGCCGCACUUCAGAAAACCUCUGCAGAAACAGGGCCCCUGAAGGUGGAGAGCAGCCAAGUGACAGUGGCGGUCAGAGUCAGGCCUUUCAGCAGCCGGGAGAAGAGAGAAGGCGCGCCUCAGGCGGUCUUCCUGGAUGGGGAGGAAAUCGCUGUGGAGCACCCUGGCACGCGACAGGUGUACAGCUUUGCCUACGAUCUUUGCUUUUGGUCCGUGGACGAGCGCCACCCGCGCUUCGCGAGCCAGAUGGCCGUGUACCAGGCGCUGGCGGCCCCGCUGCUAGGACAGGCCUUCCAAGGCUUCAACACCUGUCUGUUCGCGUAUGGCCAGACUGGCUCUGGAAAGUCAUACACGAUGAUGGGCUUUAGUGAAGAACCAGGAAUAAUUCCAAGAUUUUGUGAAGAUCUUUUUGCUGAAAUAGCCAAAAAACAAACGGAAGAGGCCAGCUACCACCUUGAGAUGAGCUUCUUCGAAGUCUACAAUGAAAGAAUUCAUGACCUUCUUGUUUGUAAAGGUGAAAAUGGGCAGAGAAAGCAAACGCUGCGAGUGCGGGAGCACCCUGCCUCGGGCCCGUACAUCGAGGGCCUGUCCACGAAUGUUGUCAGUUCUUAUUCUGAUAUCCAGGUCUGGCUGGAGCUGGGGAACAAGCAGAAGGCCACAGCCGCCACCAGCAUGAACGACAAGAGCUCGCGCUCUCACUCCGUGCUCACGCUGGCGAUGACCCAGGCCAAGACAGAAUUUGUGGAGGGGCAGGAGCUGGACCACAGAAUUCGGAGCCGCAUAAACCUCGUGGACCUGGCUGGCAGUGAGCGGUGUUCAGCGACCGGGACCAGCGGGGAGCGGCUGAAGCUGCUGAAGGAGAGUCUGAGCGGAAACUCGAAAACCGCCAUGGUGGCCGCGGUCAGCCCGGCGGGCGGCAGCGUGGAGGAGACGCUGAGCACGCUGAGGUACGCGGCGCAGGCCCGCAGCAUCGUCACCGCCGCCAGGGUCAACGAGGACCUCAGCGCCGGGCUCAUCCGGGAAUUGAAAGCAGAGAUUGAAAAGUUAAAAGCUGCCCAAAGAAGCAGUCAGAACAUUGACCCUGAGCGAUACAGGCUCUGCCGGCAAGAAAUAACCUCCUUGAGAAUGAAGCUGCAUCAGCAGGAGAGACACAUGGCAGACAUGCAGAGAGUGUGGAAAGAAAAGCUUGAACAAGCCGAAAAAAGAAGACUUCAAGUAACAGAGGAGCUGCAGAAAGUAGGAAUUGCCUUUCGAAUGGAUGACCAUUUGCCAAACCUGGUCAAUCUCAGCGAAGACCCUCAGCUGUCAGAGAUCCUGUCAUACAUGAUUAAAGAGGGGACAACCACAGUCGGAAAGUGCAGACCCGGCUCCAGCCACGAUAUCCAGCUGUCGGGGGUGCUGAUCGCCGACGACCACUGCACCAUCACCAAUUCCGAUGGGACAGUGAGUAUCAUCCCGGCGGGGGAAGCGAAGACAUACGUAAAUGGAAAACUGAUUUCGGAGCCGACGGUGUUGCACCAUGGUGAUCGGGUGAUUCUUGGUGGCGAUCAUUAUUUUAGAUUUAAUCAUCCAGUGGAAGUCCAGAAAAGGGAGCAGCCACCCAGCAGAGAGAACCCUGUGAGCAAGGGCCCAGAAGACUUCGAGUCGGCCAGAAACGAUUUGCUGAUGGCCCAGAGGUUACAGCUUGAGGCAGAAAUAAAGGAGGCUGAGGUGAGAGCCAAGGAGGAGAUGAUGCAAGGGAUCCAGAUCGUGAAAGAAAUGGCCCAGCAAGAGCUCUCCUCUCAGAAAGCUGCGUAUGAGAGCAAGAUCAAAGUGCUGGAGGCAGAGCUGAAAGAAGAAUCUCAAAGGAAGAAGAUCCAGGAAAUAAAUAACGAAAAGGCGAAUCACAAGAUUGAGGAACUGGAAAAGGCGAAGCAGCGCUUUGAGCAGGAAAUUCACGUCAACAGGAAGCGGCUGGAAAUGGAGGCCCUGGCGGCGAAGCAGGCUUUAGAAGACCACAGGAUUCGGCACGCAAAAAUUCUGGAAGCUCUAGAAACAGAGAAGCAAAGGAUUGCUCAGGAAGUGCAGAUUCUGCAGCAGAAUCAGAGCCACAGGGAUAAAGCCUUCACAGCGCAGCCCAGUUGGAGCUCCAUGAAGCUGUCCGUCAUGAUUCAGGAAGCCAACGCCAUCAGCAGCAGGCUAAACAGGAAUUACGUUUUUGGCAGACAUGUGGUGUCAGAUAAAGGAAGCAGCUCUGACGCUUGUAUUCGGGUCCGUAACCUGCAGCUCGGGGUCUCAACCGUCUGGAGUCUGGAAAAGUUUGAGUCUAAGCUUGCGGCAAUGAAGGAACUUUAUGAGAGCCGUGGCAGUAGCCGGGGUGAAGAUGUCUUUUGUGGGCCUGAAGAUGAGUGGGAACCCGACAUCACCCAUGUUCCUGUUUCUUCCUUUUCCAGGAGGAGAAGCAGAAGUCUGCUGAACAACAGGAGGGUUUCCGGCUGUCUGCACGGCGUCGAGGCCCACGCGGGCCGGGACCUGCGUUCUUCAGGCUGUGCAGGCUUAGUGGGGAAAUCCAGCCCUGUUUACCUGGACUCAGCGGAACCCUUCCUUCCUGGCAUUUGCAAAGAGUUGAUCGGCUCGUCGUUAGAGCUUCUUGGACAGAGUGAUGAUGAAGAAGGCACCGUGGCAGACAGCCUGAUGAGCAGUUUCCUCAGAAUCCACGACGGGGUACUGGCCGUGUCCAGAGCCCACGAAGAGCAGGACGAGGACAGUCAGUGUAGCUUGUUCACUGACCGAGCAAACCAGUCGCUCGCAGUCCAGGUGACAAGCGCGUUCGAGCAGCUUGCGGUGCUGACGGGACCCUGGGUGAGCGGUGUCCUCCUGGAGGCUGGCCGGGCGGCCCUGCUGGCCGAGCUGCGGCAGGAAGUGAGGACGCUGGGGAGCCGCUUGCAGCUGUUUCUGCAGGGAUGCUCUUCGGAUAUUUCACCGAUGGUCAAAGAGGCUCAAAAGCAAGUGAUCCAAACCGUGUGCCGAGCCGUUGCGUGUGUGGGGCGGUCAGUGGCCCUCACUGGGGGCCGGCUGCAUCUGCUGGAGAGUGGCGCUCACGGGGCCCCGGGCCUGCAGGAUGAUUUUGUGGGUGCUGUUUGUGAUGGUGUAGACAUGGGAGUCAGGAGUCUCCUCGAUGCUGGGAUAGAAAAAGCAGAAGAGCUUGAGCGUGAACUUGGAAGACAGAGUCCCCAAGAUGAGGUUACCAAACAGAUGAAAGCUAAUGCCCUGGGACUGAUCGAAUCCCUCGGAAACCUCUUCGCUGAAUGGAAAACAAAAAGCUUCAGAACUCAAGUACAAGAAGAAAAUUCUAAAUAUAAAGAUUUGAAGAUGAUGAUCAAUCUUGCCCAAGAAUUCUUCAAGUUAAAAUGUGGCUUAGAGCAAACUAUUCAAAUUAUUAUUUCUGCGCUGAGAGGGCACCGCGGGGACGUGGCCCUCCUCCAGGACUGUGUGCAGCGUCUCUGCAGCUCUGCCCGGGGUCUCCAUGGCGACCGGGCUGGGUGCCCUGAGGACAGCAGAGCCCAAGCCAGCCGCCGGGAGCUGGAGUCCCGCGCCACCUCACUGCUCUUGGGCUUUGAAUUUGAAGAAGGACUUGUUUUGUGGGGGCCCUGGGAAGCUUGCGAUCAGGGUCCCAGAGCAGCAGAACAAGAGCAGCCCAGGUCGGACAGGCCCGGCCCCCAGAGGACCCGAGGAGUGCCCAAGCGGGUGUACGAGCUCCCGGGCCCGGCCCUGGGGGGCUCAGAGGUG